CCUACGGGAGGCAGCAGUGAGGAAUAUUUGUCAAUGGGCGCGAGCCUGAACCAGCCAAGUAGCGUGAAGGAUGACUGCCCUACGGGUUGUAAACUUCUUUUAUAAAGGAAUAAAGUGAAGCACGUGUGCCUUUUUGUAUGUACUUUAUGAAUAAGGAUCGGCUAACUCCGUUCCAGCAGCCGCGGUAAUACGGAUGAUCCGAGCGUUAUCCGGAUUUAUUGGGUUUAAAGGUAGCGUAGAUGGGUUGUUAAGUCAGUUGUGAAAGUUUGCGGCUCAACCGGAAAAUUGCAAUUGAGACUGGCAGCCUAGAGUACAGUUGAGGUAGGCGGAAUGCGUGGUGUAGCGGUGAAAUGCUUAGAUAUCACGAGGAACACCGAUUGCGAAGGCAGCUUACUAAACUGCAACUGACAUUGAUGCUCGAAAGUGUGGGUAGCAAACAGGAUUAGAUACCCGAGUAGUC
rnacentral:rRNA from 1 species